AUUGAACGCUGGCGGCAUGCUUUACACAUGCAAGUCGAACGGCAGCGCGGGCUUCGGCCUGGCGGCGAGUGGCGAGCGGGUGAGUAAUACAUCGGAACGUGCCCAGUAGUGGGGGAUAGCUCGGCGAAAGCCGGAUUAAUACCGCAUACGACCUGAGGGUGAAAGCGGGGGAUCUUCGGACCUCGCGCUAUUGGAGCGGCCGAUGGCAGAUUAGCUAGUUGGUGGGGUAAAGGCCUACCAAGGCGACGAUCUGUAGCUGGUCUGAGAGGACGACCAGCCACACUGGGACUGAGACACGGCCCAGACUCCUACGGGAGGCAGCAGUGGGGAAUUUUGGACAAGGGGCGAAAGCCUGAUCCAGCAAUGCCGCGUGUGUGAUGAAGGCCUUCGGGUUGUAAAGCACUUUUGGCGGGAACGAAAAGGACUGUGCCAAUACCACGGUUCGAUGACGGUACCCGCAGAAUAAGCACCGGCUAACUACGU
rnacentral:rRNA from 1 species